AACCUAGCACACCUGCGGUGUGUACCUGCGGAGGGAUCAUUACCUAGAGCUGUAGGCUUUGCCUGCUAUCUCUUACCCAUGUCUUUUGAGUACCUUACGUUUCCUCGGUGGGUUCGCCCGCCGGUUGGACAAAACUUAAACCCUUUGUAGUUGCAAUCAGCGUCUGAAAAAACUUAAUAGUUACAACUUUCAACAACGGAUCU
rnacentral:misc_RNA from 1 species